rnacentral:ncRNA from 71 species
UCCGUAGGUGAACCUGCGGAAGGAUCAUU